rnacentral:misc_RNA from 1 species
AGUAGCAAUAAGAACAGCAACAACCGUGGUGGAGUUUAUGGCGUUGUUAAGACCUUCUGUGUGCAUUUUGUUCAGACGCUUCGCUAUGUUCUUCACUCUUUUCUGUGUUUGGAAAGUGUGCUCUAACUGAUUGUGAACGUCGUGUUUUAUGUCACUAACAGUUUGUUUCAGUUCUUUGGCUGAACGCGUUGGUAAUGCUAGCUUCAUGUUCUUUGCAGUCAGGACACCAUGCUCCUUUAGAAUCGCUGCUAUCUCUGAAUUUCGCGCUUUCUCAGCAACGUCAAGAGCAGUUUCACCAGAUUUAUUGAUGGCAUCCCACUUCAUUCGUUUGUCCUUUACGACUGCUUGAACGAUCUCUACACGGCCUUUACGCGUUGCAAUAUGCAGAGCAGUAUUACCCUUUCCAUCAAUAAUGGUAGCCAAAGUAGGAUCCGAUAGAAUAAGCUCGUUAACGACAUCAACACUUUGGCCUUUGACUGCCAUAUGAAGAGCUGUUUGUCCCUUCUUAUCUCUCCAAUUU